UCAGCAGAGUUUUAGCCAUUGAUAGCUGAAAACUGCUCUUGGAAUAUUCUGUUAGGGUUCAAUGCUUGCCCUCUCUGAGAGCCUCCGAGGGCAACGAGUCUGUCAGUGCUGACGUGAACAUGGGCAUCUUCCUAGUCAUAAGGUUGCCUCCCCGGCAAACAGCCAAGACAUCAGAAUAAUCCCUCAUAAGAACAUCUCCAAGAAAACAACCGAGGACCUCUAAACUGGAUGUCGAAGAAGAAAUGGUGAUUCUAUGAGAAAGACCGUUGGACUAAGACUUGGCUGCAGGGCCUUCUAUUCCUGAUAUCGCAGACUGCCUGUGCAAAGCCUUUAGACUAACAAAUUCUCUAAGCUAGACCCUACUUCAGUACAAAUCAUCUGUAAUUGUUUUAAUGAUUUUAUUAAGGAUGCACAGAUACUGUCUUUGUACUAUUUACACAGCUUUCUUCAUUAUCCCAUGGCCUAUGGCAGAGAUACCACUGAGGAGAACCAUAAUAAUUGGCACCCAUAGAAAAAUAAACAGUUUGAGCUGUACAAUUAGGGACUAGUCUCUCCCCUUAAAUUCUUAUUAAUUAGAAGAUGGAGGUAUUUUAGACUUUAAAAUCCCAGUGACUAUAUUUUCAUACAUUCACAGGAACUUGCAUAAGGAAAUAAAGUUCAGUAUAUAAAUAUUUGUCUAGAAUGUCACACCCAGUUAGUUUAAGAGCUGAGCAGAGGAAGGGGGCAUACUUCAUUUAUUUCUGAUGUACUGAAGUGCUGAAAUGCUCCAGUUUCCAGACUGGAAAGGUGGCUCUCAAAUAAAUUAUAAAAAUGAGAAACUGAUGAAAUCUAGUUUGCAAUAGAGAUGUUGUUAAUUUUGGCAGAUUUGGGCUAAAAGGGGUAAAGAAUAGGCCAUGCAGAACUGAUUCUGGUCUUGCACAAUAAUGCAUUUGUGCAGUGUGUGGAGCCCACAAUAAGGAUUAGCUAAGGUGAAAUAAGUGACAUGGUCUUGUCAGACAAAGUACCUUUAAAACAAUAUGGUAUGUGUAACAGCUUAUGUGAGGUCCUAAGGCAGAUAUAAAACAACAGGAACUUUAUGUAGAUUUGGGACAAUCCCUAGAGGAUUUGAUUUGCAUAAAGCCACACAAUCAUUUCAGCAGCUUGUGACAAAUAUAAUCCUGCUCCAGUACGUUCCAUGCUAUUUCAGAUUUCUGGGGUAAGUUAAAUAAGAAGAAUUUUACUUGGUGCGUGGGAAAACAUCAAGGAACAAACUGAUUAUACAAAAUACAGGGAGGGGAAUUAGAACAUUCAUAGGUUAAGCUCUUUGAAACAAACACAGUGUAUUUUCUACGGAACUAGAGCUACAGAACUUAGCUCAAAGGGUACUCAGCUUAAUCAUGGCAUGUGAGAGGUUUUGCAAGAGUAUGUCUAACAAUAAUUUGAUUAGAUGUGCCAGCAUCUGACACAUCUACUUUCAUAAUACUUUGACUCCCUUCUUUUCUGAAAAGGGGUGUUGGCAUGCAGCCUUAUUUUAAUUGCCAUAACUAUCCCUACCAUGUGUUUGUCUCAGAACUUUUGUUUAGGGGACAGAGAAACUAACCUGAUGAAAAAGUCAUCACAGAAAUAAUUUUUGCUUGAUAUUUUUUAUUUUAAUAAUCAUCUCUCAUGGACACAUUGUGAAGACAGUUUCUCACAACAUCUGUUAUUACCCCACCUAUGUAAAUCUUGCUGCUGGUCGAGGUAUCUAAUUAAUAUAGUCUGUUUCUCUGGCUCUGAAAUGUUUAUGAACUAGGUUGUGUGUUACUUGCAAAGAGCUUGUCCCACCGUCACUGGGCAUUUUUGCUGUUCACCACAUCCAUUUUUUCCUUAGUCAUGUGGUACUGAUUUGAAAUAGAUGAAUAUCAAAGAAAUAGGGACUUCAAGAUGUCUGCAUAAAAGUUUCAGGAAUGUGUAAAUACUUGUGUGGAUAAAAAUUUACAUGACUAUUUCCAUACAAUGAUCUAAGGGAAAGGAAAAAAAGUGAGUAAACUUGACUGUUUGGUGUAUUUGAGAAGUGGUUAUAUUCUAUAAUGCUCAAAUAAAAGGUUGGAAAACUCUG